GAAGCGAAGCCGCGAGGUAGAGCAAAUCUCAAAAAGACAUCUCAGUUCAGAUUGCAGGCUGCAACUCGCCUGCAUGAAGUCGGAAUUGCUAGUAAUCGUAGGUCAGCAUACUACGGUGAAUACGUUCCCGGGCCUUGUACACACCGCCCGUCAAACCAUGAGAGUUGGCAACACCCGAAGUCGGUAGUCUAACCGCAAGGGGGACGCCGCCGAAGGUGGGGUUGAUGAUUAGGGUUAAGUCGUAACAAGGUACC
rnacentral:rRNA from 1 species